rnacentral:rRNA from 1 species
GGGUUGUGAGGUUAAGCGACUAAGCGUACACGGUGGAUGCCCUGGCAGUCAGAGGCGAUGAAGGACGUGCUAAUCUGCGAUAAGCGUCGGUAAGGUGAUAUGAACCGUUAUAACCGGCGAUUUCCGAAUGGGGAAACCCAGUGUGUUUCGACACACUAUCAUUAACUGAAUCCAUAGGUUAAUGAGGCGAACCGGGGGAACUGAAACAUCUAAGUACCCUGAGGAAAAGAAAUCAACCGAGAUUCCCCCAGUAGCGGCGAGCGAACGGGGAGCAGCCCAGAGCCUGAAUCAGUAUGUGUGUUAGUGGAAGCGUCUGGAAAGGCGCGCGAUACAGGGUGACAGCCCCGUACACAAAAAUGCACAUGCUGUGAGCUCGAUGAGUAGGGCGGGACACGUGGUAUCCUGUCUGAAUAUGGGGGGACCAUCCUCCAAGGCUAAAUACUCCUGACUGACCGAUAGUGAACCAGUACCGUGAGGGAAAGGCGAAAAGAACCCCGGCGAGGGGAGUGAAAAAGAACCUGAAACCGUGUACGUACAAGCAGUGGGAGCACGCUUAGGCGUGUGACUGCGUACCUUUUGUAUAAUGGGUCAGCGACUUAUAUUCUGUAGCAAGGUUAACCGAAUAGGGGAGCCGAAGGGAAACCGAGUCUUAACUGGGCGUUAAGUUGCAGGGUAUAGACCCGAAACCCGGUGAUCUAGCCAUGGGCAGGUUGAAGGUUGGGUAACACUAACUGGAGGACCGAACCGACUAAUGUUGAAAAAUUAGCGGAUGACUUGUGGCUGGGGGUGAAAGGCCAAUCAAACCGGGAGAUAGCUGGUUCUCCCCGAAAGCUAUUUAGGUAGCGCCUCGUGAAUUCAUCUCCGGGGGUAGAGCACUGUUUCGGCAAGGGGGUCAUCCCGACUUACCAACCCGAUGCAAACUGCGAAUACCGGAGAAUGUUAUCACGGGAGACACACGGCGGGUGCUAACGUCCGUCGUGAAGAGGGAAACAACCCAGACCGCCAGCUAAGGUCCCAAAGUCAUGGUUAAGUGGGAAACGAUGUGGGAAGGCCCAGACAGCCAGGAUGUUGGCUUAGAAGCAGCCAUCAUUUAAAGAAAGCGUAAUAGCUCACUGGUCGAGUCGGCCUGCGCGGAAGAUGUAACGGGGCUAAACCAUGCAC